rnacentral:tRNA from 1 species
AAGACACUAGUAAAAGAACACAUUACACCGCCUUGUCAAGGCGGAAGUGUGGGUUAAACCCCCGCGUGUCUUG